rnacentral:misc_RNA from 1 species
GUACUCUCACACUCUCUGAUCCUUUGGAUUUGGGGAGCGGUGGACUUGGGUGUUUGCUGCUUUCCUUGUGGCUCACCUCAAAUGCGUCAGUGCACCUCUUGGUUGGACAUAGUACGGCGUGAUAAGUGUCUUCGCCGGCGCCUCGCAAGAGGGUGGCCGAUCGGGAGCUCUGUGCUUUCAAACCGUCCUCGGACAAUCUCUGACA